UCUUUUAGCUUGGUAAAACUAACAAAUGACCAUGGACUGGACAAAUGGGGUGGGACUACUUAUCUCAUUAGGCAAUUGCUUCAUCCCUCAAAUGCUAAAUCUUCUUCUUGAUCCUCCUCCUGCUAGGAUGUUCUGAGAUUUGCAUAUUUUGUGUGUUAAGCAGUCUUGUUUCAUUAUGUUCAUCAACGACGUAGUUGUGUUUGUCGGCUGCCUAACCAAUGGAUUUUCAUUCUUGAAUUAGGUAUCUAGCGAACACUUGUAUGGUCCGUUGAUGUCGUUGUCUUCCUUCUAAUUUUCUGAUUCUUGAUGAAUGCAGAUCCAUCCCUUCCAUUCCUGAGCUGACUUCAAACACCAUCCAUUUCAUUUGAUCACCUUUUGUAAUAGAGCAGCAAAGACGUUCUACACUCAUCACACAUACAUUAUGUUUCCCUCCUGUCUAGUUUUCUCUUGCUUGCAUUCCUCUUGAAAUUGGGGUGCAGUCAAUGCUUGCAUCUCUCUGUUUGAGCACAUUAACAAACGCAUAGUUUAAUGGCAGUUUACUCUGCAUGUAACAGUGGUUAUUUAAUGGAAAAAUGUGGUCUAGGCAUAGUUCUUGGUGCUUGGAGUCUUUAUUCUUAUGUUUUUGUGGGUCAAGACCUUUGAAUAAUAAUCAAGAUCUCUUCCAUCA